rnacentral:rRNA from 1 species
UGGGGAAUCUUGGACAAUGGGGGCAACCCUGAUCCAGCCAUGCCGCGUGAGUGAUGAAGGCCUUAGGGUCGUAAAGCUCUUCGCCUGUGAAGAUAAUGACGGUAGCAGGUAAAGAAACCCCGGCUAACUCCGUGCCAGCAGCCGCGGUAAUACGGAGGGGGUUAGCGUUGUUCGGAAUUACUGGGCGUAAAGCGCACGUAGGCGGAUCGGAAAGUUGGGGGUGAAAUCCCGGGGGCUCAACCCCGGAACUGCCUCCAAAACUAUCGGUCUAGAGUUCGAGAGAGGUGAGUGGAAUUCCAAGUGUAGAGGUGAAAUUCGUAGAUAUUUGGAGGAACACCAGUGGCGAAGGCGGCUCACUGGCUCGAUACUGACGCUGAGGUGCGAAAGUGUGGGGAGCAAACAGGAUUAGAUACCCUGGUAGUCCACACCGUAAACGAUGAAUGCCAGUCGUCGGGUAGCAUGCUAUUCGGUGACACACCUAACGGAUUAAGCAUUCCGCCUGGGGAGUACGGUCGC